AUUGAACGCUGGCGGCAGGCCUAACACAUGCAAGUCGAACGGUAACAGGAAGAAGCUUGCUUCUUUGCUGACGAGUGGCGGACGGGUGAGUAAUGUCUGGGAAACUGCCUGAUGGAGGGGGAUAACUACUGGAAACGGUAGCUAAUACCGCAUAACGUCGCAAGACCAAAGAGGGGGACCUUCGGGCCUCUGGCCAUCGGAUGUGCCCAGAUGGGAUUAGCUAGUAGGUGGGGUAACGGCUCACCUAGGCGACGAUCCCUAGCUGGUCUGAGAGGAUGACCAGCCACACUGGAACUGAGACACGGUCCAGACUCCUACGGGAGGCAGCAGUGGGGAAUAUUGCACAAUGGGCGCAAGCCUGAUGCAGCCAUGCCGCGUGUAUGAAGAAGGCCUUCGGGUUGUAAAGUACUUUCAGCGGGGAGGAAGGGAGUAAAGUUAAUACCUUUGCUCAUUGACGUUACCCGCAGAAGAAGCACCGGCUAACUCCGUG
rnacentral:rRNA from 1 species